rnacentral:tRNA from 1 species
GCCGCCUUAGCUCAGUGGCAGAGCACUGGUCUUGUAAACCAGGGGUCGUGAGUUCAAUCCUCACAGGCGGCA